rnacentral:ncRNA from 1 species
AUUAGGUUGACUCUGCCUACCGGGGAUGCUAGUCUUUAAGAUCAAGCCACUCUAAAUGAGCCUGUAAGGGAGAACAACUCACUAAUUUCUCUAUAUGAUAAGAAUAGCCACGGUAGCCUCUUUGGCCAAUAGUGUAGAAUAUGGCUCAAUCCUACCAGUUUGUUGGUAGUGUAAAGGACUACAAAAACUAUGAUGAUAUUUUACUUAGGGGUUGAGUGUAAAGAAUUCUACGUGAAUUAUAUGGUGGGUGCUGCAGUUAAAGGGUCCGUAGUCGUAGAUGCAAUUAAAGGGUGGUGCUCAAGACCAUUAAGUUUGUUGUUUUUAGCGGAACGGAUAGGGAGCGUGGUAUAAGCGGGCCAAAAAUGAAAUCUCAAGACCCCGCCUGGACAACUGAGGCGAAAGCGACGCUCUUAGACGUAUCUAAGGAUCAAGGAUCAAGGCUAAAUUAUCGAAAGUGAUUACACACCGCUGUAGUUCUAGCAGUAAACGAUGCCGACAGCUCAUGCUGUGAAAGUGGUGGCAAGAACAAACACAGUUUUCGGAUUAUGGGUAUAGUACACUCACAAGAGUGAAACUUAAAGCGAGAUUGACGGAAGAACAUUACCAGAAGUAGAUUGUACUGCUUAAUUUAACUCAACACUAAAAACCUUACCUGGCCCUAGUCAGUUGUAGAUUGUAAGCGUGAACCUGAUGGGUGACUUUUAGAAUAAAUGAUGUAACUAUUGAUAUCUUUUGAAUUUACUAUUUUGUUUUCUUGAACUGUUCCAUUGUUGUUUUCUGUUUACCUUUCUCUACUUCAUCCAACUUUGCUUUAUUCUGCCUAUACGAACAUUG